rnacentral:lncRNA from 1 species
GGCGGUCAGAGGACAGCGCGAGGCAGACACCGCCUCCGCCUGGUGAGGUAGACACCGCCUCCGCCUGGUGAGGUCUCCCGGCGUUCAGGUCGCGGCUCCGCCCACGGCCGCCCCAGGGUGGGCUUCCUACACGUCUCUUUAAAGGGCAGCCUGAGCGGCCACCGGGACUCGGAAAUGCUACGUAGUUUUCGUUCUCAGAAGCAGCUGUUUAUGCGCAAGCGCCCCCUUCUUCUUUUCGCUUUGCUACCUUCAAGGACCUUCUCCCAAACUGCUAAUUUUUCUUCAUCCGUUAAAGGUCUAUUGAUUCACAUUAUUUGCUGGCAGUGUGUGAAGUCAACGAACAAGACUGAGUCUUUGCCCUUGAGACGCGUACACUCUACCCAGAGACAAGUUCUAAGCACAGGAAACAAGUAAUUUUAUAAGAACAUCAUAGGGCAGUUAUUCUCCAGAUGAAUUCAGAUUAAAGAGGACACUUGAGCCGGAUUUGGAGGAAGAGAGCCAUGGUUUGGAAUAGAACAUGAACGAGUGCAGAGGAGUGG